UGCUGUUCCUGGCAGUUCCCUGUCAGCCAAUUAGGAGAUGCGGGGCGGGGCGGGGCGGGGCUGAUCUGGUGACGGGACUAUCAAUCUCACUGGCCGGGACCUGGAUAUCAACCAAAGUGAGGAACGGAUAUUUCCAAUGUUUUCUUACCAGUGACCAAGGUCGUUUGAAAGGGAACCUUAAAAUUGAAGAUGUAUCUGUUCCUGGCUCUCUUCAUGUUUCACCAUGUGAAGUCGCAGACUAUCCACCAGACUCCCGCCGCCGUCUCCCAACUCCCAGGGACGAGAGUGAAGCUGCAGUGCCGUGUGGAGACAGCAAGUAUCGUCAGCAUGUUCUGGUACAGACCAGCCCCGGGAAAGGGGCUGCAGCUGAUGUUUUACUCCAGUACUGCAAAUCGCGUGGAUCCAAAGGGGCCGGUGGACGGUUUCACCGCCGAGAGACCAAAUAACAACGAGUUUAACCUGGAAGCCCUCAGCCUGUUGGUGAACACCUCGGCAGUGUAUUACUGCGCUUGGAGUCUACACAGUGACUCAGCGAGAAGGAGCAGCUCAACAAAAACCCCCAAAGGUUGCACGAAACAACCGCGAAUGACAUCACUCAUCGCCUCGGCUCAUUGUGCUGGUGUCUAUUUUGCAAACGGAGCAUUUUGUUCUGUUAAUUAA